rnacentral:misc_RNA from 1 species
GAACGCACAUUGCACCCUCUGGUAUUCCGGAGGGUAUGCCUGUUUGAGUGUCAUUAAUCUCUCAACACUGACAGGGUUCUUCCUUGUUCUGAUGCUUGGAUGCUGAAGGCUUGCUGGCAAUUUUAUUAAUGUCAGCUCCUUUUAAAUGCAUUAGCAGAAACCAAUGUAAAGCUGGCUUCAGUUUGAUAACACAUUUAUCUAAGGGCUGUUGCUGGUAAAAGCUAUAUUGUUUCAGCUUCAAAUUGUCCAUUUUUCAUGGACUGUCUCUUGAGAGGCAUAUACAACUUGACACUUGACCUCAAAUCAGGUAGGAUUACCCGCUGAACUUAAG